rnacentral:rRNA from 1 species
CAGCCGCCACGGUAAUACGGAGGAUCCGAGCGUUAUCCGGAAUUAUUGGGUUUAAAGGGUGCGUAGGCGGAUAGAUAAGUCAGGGGUGAAAGACGGUGGCUCAACCAUCGCAGUGCCUUUGAUACUGGUGUGCUUGAAUGUACAUGAGGUAGGCGGAAUGAGACAAGUAGCGGUGAAAUGCAUAGAUAUGUCUCAGAACACCAAUUGCGAAGGCAGCUUACUAAGGUAUGAUUGACGCUGAUGCACGAAAGCGUGGGGAUCAAACAGGAUUAGAUACCCCCGUAGUCCCUGUCUCUUAUAC